rnacentral:rRNA from 1 species
CCAAUAGCGUAUAUUAAAGUUGUUGCAGUUAAAAAGCUCGUAGUUGAAUUUCGGGGUUAGUAGGUUGGUCAUGCCUCUGGUAUGUACUGGUCUCACUGAUUCCUCCUUCCUGCUGAACCUUAAUGCCAUUAAUUUGUUGUUUUGGGGAAUUUGGACUGUUACUUUGAAAAAAUUAGAGUGUUUAAAGCAAGCUAACGCUUGAAUACAUUAGCAUGGAAUAAUGAAAUAGGACGUUCGAUCCUAUUUUGUUGGUUUCUAGGAUUGACGUAAUGAUUAAUAGGGAUAGUUGGGGGGAUUAGUAUUCAAUUGUCAGAGGUGAAAUUCUUGGAUUUAUUGAAGACUAACUACUGCGAAAGCAUUUGCCAAGGAUGUUUUCAUUAAUCAAGAACGAAAGUUAGGGGAUCGAAGACGAUCAGAUACCGUCGUAGUCUUAACCAUAAACUAUGCCGACUAGGGAUCGGACGAUGUUAAUUUUUUAAUGACUCGUUCGGCGCCUUACG